GGACUACCAGCUGCCUCCUAUCUUACUGCGGUCUGUGAGUUAAGUACCUUCCAUGCUGCAUGGGAGCUAUAAAAAAGCAGUGUGAUGAUAUAAAAAGUCCAGAAAAAAGUGGUUCUGUUCGAGCAUCGACCUCUGCAUGUGUCCAUACCCCAUCUACCUCUUCAUCACAGCUACCACGUCCUUUAACAUCACAGCAUUUGAAUAUAAGACAAGAACCACAACAUGGGCAAUAUAUACGUUCAACAACCAA